UACGAAGGGGGCUAGCGUUGCUCGGAAUCACUGGGCGUAAAGCGCACGUAGGCGGAUCUUUAAGUCAGGGGUGAAAUCCCAAGGCUCAACCUUGGAACUGCCUUUGAUACUGGGGAUCUCGAGUCCGGAAGAGGUUGGUGGAACUGCGAGUGUAGAGGUGAAAUUCGUAGAUAUUAGGAAGAACACCGGUGGCGAAGGCGGCCCACUGGAUCGGUACUGACGCUGAGGUGCGAAAGCCAGGGGAGCAAACGGG
rnacentral:rRNA from 1 species